ACUCCUACGGGAGGCAGCAGUGGGAAUCUUGGACAAUGGGGGCAACCCUGAUCCAGCCAUGCCGCGUGAGUGAUGAAGGCCUUAGGGUCGUAAAGCUCUUUCGCCUGUGAAGAUAAUGACGGUAGCAGGUAAAGAAACCCCGCGUACAUCCGUGCCAGCAGCCGCGGUAAUACGGAGGGGGUUAGCGUUGUUCGGAAUUACUGGGCGUAAAGCGCACGUAGGCGGAUCGGAAAGUUGGGGGUGAAAUCCCGGGGCUCAACCCCGG
rnacentral:rRNA from 1 species